GGGAGAGGCAGAGGAGAAGAGAGGCAGAGGAGAAGAGAGGGAGAGGCAGAGGAGAAGAGAGGGAGAGGCAGAGGAGAAGAGAGGCAGAGGAGAAGAGAGGGAGAGGCAGAGGAGAAGAGAGGCAGAGGAGAAGAGAGGGAGAGGCAGAGGAGAAGAGCGGGAGAGGGAGAGGAGAGGUGUCAUCAGCCCCGGUGGAGAGACCUCCCUCAGCCUGCCUGCCGCAAUCUCUCCCCAACACCUGCUCCAGCUCCAGAUGAGAUCAGCAGGAUGGGGCAGAGGUGGGCACAGGGAAGGGUGCUGCUGGAGAGCCAGUCACGUGAAAGAGAGAUGGAGAAAGGCUGUGCAGGAAAGAUAUCAACCUAGGUUUGAAACAGACCCAAGGCAAUAAUGUAAUAAUGGCUGUUGUUUCUAGCCAGUCACUAGACAUUUCAUUUCUAUUUAACUAGGCAAGUCAAUUAAGAACAAAUUAUUAUUUACAAUGAUGGCCUAGGAACAGUGGGUUAACUGCCUUGUUCAGGGGCAGAACGACAGAUUUUUACCUUGUCAGCUCGGGGAUUCCAUCCAGCAAACUGCCACCCCAGACAUCCUCUGAGUAUUGUGAUGUUUUCUUUAGUAUGUAGAGACGUGAUCGCGCAAGGUAGAUGAGAUGAGACUUUUCAAACGGAAGAAGUUGCCAAAUGUUCAAGAAUUACGUAUAAUAUUUACAGGGUCAUACUUUCAGAGGACAAACCAUCUGUCUUGAUAGUACACACACGCUCUGACAACAGGCCAUCUUCCCCUGAUGCCUACGCAGUCUAGGCAGACCACAAACCUGGAGGUCUGCGCUGGGCUAAACCAGCUGUUAUAUGAGGCACGACACUGUCCCAGCCCAGCCCAUCAAGGAUCAUUACACCAUCAGACCCAGCCCUUUAUCAUAGCGACUUCUCCUGCCCAUGUCUUCAGUGUGUAUAAUACUGCCCUGGGUCUGUGAGGGCUGUGAACCCCUGUCAUUAUAGUGGUUUACUGGUUCACACAGUGUGUAUAAAGGUCUUUAUGGCAGGCCAAGCCCAGGGGUUUGUGUGCUUUUAGUUUACACAGUGGCACUGGAGUGUUGGAGAGCAUAUUGGAAGUUUAUUAGAGCCACAGUCAGUCAGUCAAUGCAGUCCCAGUCAGUCCUUACUACUGCUAUAAAGCCAGCUAGGGCUCUCACUGGCCAGCGAUGACACAGUCAUCAACACUGAAUGGCCAGAUCCCACUGUGCCCACUAGCACCUCUCCAGCUACCUAUCCUAACCUAGCCAGGCCUGGCUGCGUAAAGCCAUCAUACACUGACAGAGAACAAACCACGAGGAGAGGCUGAGAACACGGAGGGUUUUAAUAUCUUAUCUCUCCUAGAUGGCUCACAUGGUAUUGACAGAACAGGUCAGCACCUGCAGGUGAUGUUGCUAUAAUGCCCCAGAUCAGAAACUACAAGUGGAUGAGAACAUGAGACUGAGUCUCCCUCCCUGCCACUGUAGGGCACGGCUCCAGGCUCUAGGCUCUAGGCUCCAGGCUCUAGGCUCUAGGCUCCAGGCUCUAGGCUCCAGGCUCUAGGCUCCAGGCUCCAGGCUCCCGGCUCCAGGCUCUAGGCUCCAGGCUCUAGGCUCCAGGCUCUAGGCUCCAGGCUCUAGGCUCCAGGCUCUAGGCUCUAGGCUCCAGGCUCCCAGCUCCUUGUCUUCUCUCCUCUUACUUAUUUUGGGCGCCGCCUCUUCAAUAUUUUAAAGGGGAACCGAAGAACGUCCCAGCGCCCGGGCAGGAGCACUUUAGAGACCCCAGCGGCAGGGCCGCUAUGACAUGAGAGAUGAAACCAGCCUACUGCCAACGCCACACACACAGACACACAGACAGACACAGACAGACACAGACACACACAGACACACACACAAACACACAGACACACACA
ensembl:lncRNA